rnacentral:tRNA from 1 species
UCCCUGAUGGUUUAGACAAUAAAGAAUCUGCCUGCAAUGCAGGAUACCCAGGUUUAAUUCCUGGGUUGGGAA